rnacentral:tRNA from 1 species
AAAAUCCGUCGACUUUAGAAAUCGUGAUG